GGUGAUUCUGCCUUGGGGCCGAGCCGCCACACCUCCUUGUCAUCGCUUCACCUGCGAGUAAUUAGACUGUGGGCUUUUUAUGACCAGCGUUUUCAAGCACUCACCGCCAGAACGUCUGUUAACUCACUAAUCCUCUGGAUGUCAGUGCUUCCAGCUGCUACACCUGCUGCUUAAUCCGCUGGUCAACUCGCAGAUCCUCCACAGCUCUUUACCUGCCCAGUAGAGAUCCUUCAUGGAUUCACCUGUUCUCGCACCCGGGCCACUUACCACCCUCCACGCUUCGUGUUCACCUGCAUUAAAUGACUGUAAGGUUUCUUUUUUCCUUGACUUCAUCUCACGGUUCCUGCUCCAGAUGUUACCCGGUGUCGGGUUCCCCCCUUCGGUCCACGACAACCCCAAGAGACUCUCACGGACCCCACUCCCCUGUUUAGUGAUAAACAGUGAUAGACCAGUGUCUCGUUUUUUGUUUGUUUUUUUUUAGUUUAGGUUGCUCAGCUUGUUAGUGUUUCACAGUGUGUCAUUAAAGCGUUUGAAUGUUGCCCUUAGAUUAAUAGUGUAGUUUUGUUCACAGUACCUUCGUAGAAGUAGCGUAUCUUCAUAGUAUUGUGGCUAAGAGCCCGCUCACAGUAUUUCUCCUUUUAAGAAGUUAAGUUGCACUUCCAGCGUACAACUUUAAUCCCGCCUUCUGUAAUGUGUUAAGUUACUUUAGCUUAGUAUCCUGUCUCGCCUUCUCUUAGUUUAUAGUGGAUGUGUUAGGUGUGUUUUGUAUCCUUGUGCAUUUAGUCUUAUCUUUCGAAUUCUGUUUCUGUCUGAGUGGUGUCUACACCUGAGUCCAUUUCCUGUUUUUGGCCGUGACACACAGCACGGGAGUCAGGAGUUACCAUGGAAGGAGUCACGUUUUGGAAACUGUUUCCAUUUACUCUUCAUUAUUCACUGUAAAUAAACUCACUGUUGCUAACCAGGAA